AACGGGUUUGUAACACGUGAGCAAUCUGCCCUUAAGUCUGGAAUAGCCCAGGAAACUUGGAUUAAUACCGGAUGGUGAUGAGUCAGGCAUCUGAUUCUAUCCAAAGCUUGUAACGGCACUUAAGAGGAGCUCGCGGCUAUCAGCUAGUUGGCGAGGUAACGGCUCACCAAGGCUAAGACGGGUAACUGGUCUGAGAGGAUGAUCAGUCACACUGGAACUGAGACACGGUCCAGACACCUACGGGUGGCAGCAGUUUCGAAUCGUUCACAAUGGGGGCAACCCUGAUGGCGCGACGCCGCGUGGGGGAUGAAGGUCUUCGGAUUGUAAACUCCUGUCAUUGGGGACUAAUGGCCAGGCUCAUACCCUGGUUUGAAUUAACCCAAAGAGGAAGCAGUGGCUAACUCUGUGCCAGCAGCCGCGGUAAUACAGAGACUGCAAGCGUUACUCGGAUUCACUGGGCGUAAAGGGAGCGCAGGCGGAUUGGUGUGUCAGGCGUGAAAUCCCGGGGCUCAACCCCGGGGCUGCGCCCGAAACUACCAAUCUAGAGACUUGGAGGGGUAAGCGGAAUUCUUGGUGGAGCAGUGAAAUGCGUAGAUAUCAAGAGGAACACCAACGGCGAAGGCAGCUUACUGGACAAGAUCUGACGCUCAGGCUCGAAAGCGUGGGGAGCAAAAGGGAUUAGAUACCCCUGUAGUCCACGCUGUAAACGGUGCGCAUUAGGUCUCGGAGCUUUCGAACGCUUCGGGGCUCAAGCUAACGCAUUAAAUGCGCCGCCUGAGGACUACGGCCGCAAGGCUGAAACUCAAAGGAAUUGACGGGGCCCCGCACAAGCAGCGGAGCAUGCGGCUCAAUUCGAUGCAACGCGAAGAACCUUACCAAGGCUUGACAUAUAGCGAAAAAGUGGCAGAGAUGUCAUGUCCGCAAGGGCGCUAUACAGGUGGUGCAUGGUUGUCGUCAGCUCGUGUCGUGAGAUGUUGGGUUAAGUCCCGCAACGAGCGCAACCCUCGUUCUGUGUUACCAGCAUUUAGUUGGGGACUCACAGGAGACUGCCGGGUUAACUCGGAGGAAGGUGGGGAUGACGUCAAAUCCUCAUGCCCCUUAUGUCUUGGGCUGCACGCAUGCUACAAUGGUCGGUACAGAGGGCUGCGAAACCGUAAGGUGGAGCGAAUCCCAAAAGCCGGUCUCAGUUCAGAUUGAGGUCUAAC
rnacentral:rRNA from 1 species